rnacentral:rRNA from 1 species
CAGAGGUCCCAAGCGUUGUUCGGAUUCAGUUGGGCGUAAAGGGUGCGUAGGUGGCGCUGUAAGUCGGGUGUGAAAUUUCGGAGCUUAACUCCGAAACUGCAUUCGAUACUGCGGUGCUUGAGGACUGGAGAGGGAGACUGGAAUUCAUGGUGUAGCAGUGAAAUGCGUAGAGAUCAUGAGGAAGACCAGUGGCGAAGGCGGGUCUCUGGACAGUUCCUGACACUGAGGCACGAAGGCCAGGGGAGCAAACGGGAUUAGAUACCCCGGUAGUCCUGGCAGUAAACGGUGCACGUUUGGUGUGGGAGGAUUCGACCCCUUCCCGCGCCGGAGCUAACGCGUUAAACGUGCCGCCUGGGGAGUACGGUCGCAAGAUUA